AAAGGGUCCUGUUCCUCCAAAUGAGCUGUAUAUCUUCGUCUCGAGUCUGGCGAAUAAAGAUGUUUUUUAGUAAACUACAUCAUUCAACAUGGCGGCUAUGACGUCACAUGUACCCAGGAAAAGACACCGAGCAGACAUCCAAGGGCCGAAGAAAACGUGGAGAAGUUCUCGAUACGAGGGGAAAAUAUAAAGAGAUUAAAGAUGAUAAUGAAAGCUGAAUUCUUUGUGGUUUUUUCGGCGGUGUUGCUGUUUUGUGCAGCAGGUGGAAAAGCAAUAGUUACAGGUGGGUUUUGUCAUAACUGUGCUAAUGAUCUGGAGCUCAAAGAUGAUUGGCCUUUGUGCACUGAGAAAGAAAACGCAGGAAAUCCUCUGUGUGAGACGCGUGCGAGCAGUGAGCCCGCGAUUACACGAAGGGACUCGGUCAUAUCACUGGAUACACUGUACAAAGGAAACUAUGGAUACGAGAAAAAUAACAUGGGAAGCAAAAACAUUUUUUUCUAACAGUCUUAUUCCAACGUACGCUGGUACACUGUCGCACUUCAAUGUACUCACUGAAAACGUAAAUUCUACCGACGCUUUAAAAUAUCUGCCCUGGCGUGGCGGAUUGAUGAGUAUUUAAAAGAUCGAAAACCCAAGCAAGAGGGAAUAAUACAACCUCGUUCCCAGGGCCUUCUCUUCUCGUUUUUUUUUUCAAGAUGGCGGCGCUCGAAGGGAAAAAUCUUCGAGCGCCGCCAUCUUGAAAAAAAGCGAGGAAAGAAGACCCUGGUAACGAGGUUGGGAAUAGUUAAAGAAACAUAAUCUUGGAUUUUAUUAAUAUGGUAUUAUCCAUUUAUUAACAACGGGAUUUUUUGAUCAUUUAAUUUACUAAAUCAAAAGUGUGGAAUCAUAAGUGAGUAAGGGGUAGCAUUUCUAAUAAACAUUUUUAGAACGGA
rnacentral:lncRNA from 1 species